rnacentral:rRNA from 1 species
CACGUAGGGCGCAAGCGUUGUCCGGAAUUAUUGGGCGUAAAGAGCUCGUAGGCGGUCUGUUACGUCUGCUGUGAAAACCCGGGGCUUAACCCUUGGCUUGCAGUGGAUACGGGCAGACUAGAGGUAGGUAGGGGAGAAUGGAAUUCCCGGUGUAGCGGUGAAAUGCGCAGAUAUCGGGAGGAACACCGGUGGCGAAGGCGGGUCUCUGGGCCGAUACUGACGCUGAGGAGCGAAAGCAUGGGUAGCGAACAGG